GAUGAAGAACGUAGCGAAAUGCGAUAAGUAGUGUGAAUUGCAGAAUUCAGUGAAUCAUCGAAUCUUUGAACGCACAUUGCGCCCCUUGGUAUUCCAUGGGGCAUGCCUGUUCGAGCGUCAUUUGUACCCUCAAGCUUUGCUUGGUGUUGGGUGUUUGUCUCGCCUCUGCGUGUAGACUCGCCUCAAAACAAUUGGCAGCCGGCGUAUUGGUUUCGGAGCGCAGUACAUCUCGCGCUUUGCACUCAUAACGACGACGUCCAAAAGUACAUUUUUACACUCUUGACCUCGGAUCAGGUAGGGAUACCCGCUGAACUUAAGCAUAUCAAUAAGCGGAGGA
rnacentral:misc_RNA from 1 species